rnacentral:lncRNA from 1 species
AAAUGCAGCACAAUUGUUUAAAUAGCGCAAUCGAAAAUAUUGCAAAAGCUGAUCACUUCGGUAAUUGUACUAACUUCACAUCCUGUGACCCCAUUGGAACCCAAUGAAGCAGCAACCCAUGACCGGACAUGGCCGGCAAUUUUUGUUCGCCAGCAGAUAUGGAGUUCGAUCCCUAGAAGGAUAUGAGUAGCGGAAUAUCCUAUGAAAUCAGAUAACUAUAAGAAAGGAUUACAUCCAAUAAGCAGAGAGACUAAUCUAAAUGUUUAUAAUAAAUUUACAGAUCAGUUAAUAGUGCACCCAAAC